UUCACUUUUGAUGGGAUUUUAGGAAACUCACAGCUAAAUUUAAUAUUAACUUGAAAUAAUAAGCUCACACGGGGUUGUUGUGACUUCUGCUUUCGCCUCUGUAAGACGCUCUGUAAUCUACUACUUUCCAUUAUGCUCAAUCACGCGACAUCUCUCAGGCAUGUAAGGGAUUUUGGAUUUUAUCCAAAUGGCAGUAGGAAGCCACAGAAGGGCUUUGGCAGGGAGAUGCCCUGAUUGAAUAAGAAUACAAGUGGAUCAGUCUGGCUGUCACAUGGGGAAUGGAGUUGAGGGGUAAGGGUGGGAGGCGAGAGAUGAGCGUGAGACACGGCAGGGUCCUGGAGCGGGUGGCAGCGGAGGAGAGGACAGACGCAGGACAGUUCUGGAAACAGGAUGCCAGGAACUGGUAACUGUGUGGCAAGGCCACGGGGAUGGGGCCGGUCAGCGAGGAGGGAAGGAAGUGCAGGAGAAGUUAGGGGACACAAGGGGGGAGGGUCGUGGGCACCUUGUCCACGCCGGUACCUAGACUCCCAUUGCUUGUGAGACUGCAGAGAGAGGGAGACGGCAGAACGGCAGGGGAAGGGUGCCUCCUUUCUCAAGGGCGUCAGGGACUCGGGCACAGAGCAAGCUCCUCGGCAUGGCGCUCUGGUCUCAGGCGUGGCCUCGGGAGGCGUGGGGUUUCUUCUCUGCUGAGUUCUGGAUGGGGCCUCGCCAUUUUCAACCCAGAAAGAAAAGCCCUUGGGGGUGGUGGGAGGCUGGGGGCAGAUGUCGCCGUCUGAGCUCUCUCCUGGGCAUCACCCACCACUCCCUUCCCUUUCCCCACCGGUGUGAGAAGAUAAGGGGGCCGCCUGCUCAGUCCCUUGAACGUUGUCUCCUCUGCCUUAUCCCCUCUCCCCAGCUGGGGACCCUCCCCGGCGACCUGCUCCCCCCACCUCUGGUUGUGAGCAGGACAUGGUGCUGGGUGGAGUCAUGGAGCAGCUCUGCCGUCAGGAGGGCUGCCCGUCUUUCCUCUGUCAAGUGCCACCCCUGCCCUGUUCUGUCUGUGGGAGAUUCCAGUUUGUCUCUGGCUUGGUGGGAGUCCAGAGCCAUCAGAGACCUGCGGGGGCAGGGGCAGCAGGCAGUCGGGAGUCCUCAGGCCGGUCAGCUGGCCCCAGGGGAGUGCGGUUGCCUUCCACGCAGCCGAGGCCUGAGUUACAACUGGGCGAGAGAGGGAAGGAUGUCCCCACGUGAGCAUCUCACAGCCAUAGCCGCGUGGCACUCACCCAACAACGUACCUCUCCUGUGCUUGGAAUCUGGAGCUCACCGCGGAGUCCCGGGAAGCAGCUGACUGGCAGAGAAUCCCCGCCCCCUGCCAGGUGAGCAGGCUCGGAACCCUCUAGUCGUACCAUCUGGCAUGGGUGCUGACAGAAAGCCAGCGAAAGGCUGCAGAGGCUCUGGGACCCUCAGCUGCGUGAGGCGGUGCUCCUGCCUGCGGAGGCUCAGCACGGAGGGCCAGUCACUCGGCCGUCACUCUGCCCAGGAGCCUGCACGUCUUCUUUCUGACCGAGCACAAGCUGCCUACUUUGAGGGACAGAGGCAGUGGUGGUUCGUGUUUCUGGAUCUGCUCAUACCUGGCUUUUCUGCAGGCCGCAUGUAUGGAAUAAGCGAUAUAGAGAUCGACUGUAGAGUCAGCAGGUCGGCGGCCCCACAGCAUUUGUUCCUGCAACAUGUUUCACCGUCUCCACGGUUCCCUCCCAUCUUUCAGGAUCCCAUCAGAAAAAAAAUGCUGGUUUCAAUAAACAUA